UACUAUAAAGGGGAGUAUUACCCUUUAUAGUAGCAACGUAGCAGUAGCA
rnacentral:sRNA from 12 species